rnacentral:rRNA from 1 species
UACGUAGGGGGCAAGCGUUGUCCGGAAUUAUUGGGCGUAAAGAGCGCGUAGGCGGUCCGAUAAGUCGGCUGUGAAAGUCAUGGGCUCAACCCAUGAAAGCCGGCCGAUACUGUCGGACUAGAGUCCGGAAGAGGCGAGUGGAAUUCCCGGUGUAGCGGUGAAAUGCGCAGAUAUCGGGAGGAACACCAGUGGCGAAGGCGGCACUCUGGGCCGGUACUGACGCUGAGGAGCGAAAGCGUGGGGAGCGAACAGG